rnacentral:rRNA from 1 species
ACGUAAGGGGCGAGCGUUGCUCGGAAUUACUGGGCGUAAAGGGCGUGUAGGCGGUCACACAAGUCUAAUGUAAAAAACCGAGGCUUAACUUCGGAGUUGCGUUAGAAACUGUAUGGCUUGAGUCUGGUGGAGGGUGAUGGAAUUCCCGGUGUAGCGGUGAAAUGCGUAGAUAUCGGGAAGAACACCGAAGGCUAAAGCAGUCAUCCAUGCCAAGACUGACGCUGAGGCGCGAAAGCAUGGGUACCAAACAG